UACGUAGGUGGCGAGCGUUGUCCGGAUUUACUGGGCGUAAAGAGCGCGCAGGCGGUCGUUCAAGUCGAGUGUGAAAGCCCCCGGCUCAACUGGGGAGGGUCAUUCGAUACUGAUCGACUCGAAGGCAGGAGAGGGUAGUGGAAUUCCCGGUGUAGUGGUGAAAUGCGUAGAUAUCGGGAAGAACACCAGUGGCGAAGGCGACUAUCUGGCCUGUUCUUGACGCUGAGGCGCGAAAGCUAGGGGAGCAAACGGG
rnacentral:rRNA from 1 species